AUGCUCCGCCUCCACAAGUAUGUCCUCACCCAGCUGCUCCCUUCUUCCUCCCUCUCCACCAUCUCCCUCCCUCUCGGCCGCCUCAUCUCCGCCGCCGCGCCCGCCGUUUCCCCCAACCCUAGUAGCUUCGCCGUGGAGGAGUACCUCGUCGCCACCUGCGGCCUCACCCGACCACAGGCCGCCAAGGCCUCCACCAAGCUCUCCCACCUCAAGUCCCCCUCCAAUCCCGACGCCGUCCUCGCCUUCCUCGCCGACCUCGGCCUCUCCGGGGCCGAUGUCGCCGCCCUCGUCGCCAAGGACCCCAAGUUCCUCUGCGCCAAAGUGGAGAAAACUCUGGCCCCCAACGUCGCGGAGCUCACCGGCCUCGGCCUCUCGCGUGCUGAGAUCGCGCGCCUCGUCUCGCUCGCCGGUGAGUCCUUCCGCCGUACAUCUGUCGCCUCAAGGCUAUCCUACUUCCUGUCCCUCUUCGGCUCCUACGACGACCUCCUCCGGGUAGUCCAGAAAAGCCCCAAUCUCCUCGGAUGCGACCUCGACAGGGUUCUCAAGCCCAACGUCGCCUUCCUCCUGGAGUGCGGGUUAGGUGUUUGCGAUAUUGCCAAGCUGUGCAUCCAUUCGCGAUGGCUGCUCGCCACCAACCUGGAACGCCUCCGGGCAAUGGUGGCAUGCGCCCAAGGUAUAGGUGUGCCAUGUGGCUCUCGGAUGUUCAGACAGGCCUUGCAUGCUGUCGCAUUCCUCAGCCAGGAGAAGCUCACCGCCAAAGUGGAACUCUUGAAGAAGACGUUCAUGUGGUCAGAUGCCGAGGUCGCCAUUGCUAUUUCUAAGGCUCCAACGUUGCUGACGAGGGAUAAGGAAUCGCUGCAGCGCAGGUCCGAGUUCCUCAUCUCUGAGGUGGGGUUGGAACCGGCAUACAUUGCUUAUCGUCCGGCAAUGCUCACUUACAGCUUGGAGGGCCGGAUCAGACCCCGGUACUAUGUCGUAAAGUUUCUCAAGGAAAAUGGAUUGCUCAAGCGUGACCCGAGCUACUUUACUGUUUUCAAGGAGUCCGGGAAGGCAUUCAACAAGAUGUUCAUACACCCUCAUAAGGAAGCUGCACAAGACCUUGAAAAAGACUAUGAUGCUGCUUGCAAAGGGGAGGUGCCCACUAAUUUCAGAUUCACAUAA
rnacentral:rRNA from 1 species